UACGUAGGUGGCAAGCGUUGUCCGGAUUUACUGGGCGUAAAGAGCGCGCAGGCGGUCGGAUAAGUCGAAUGUGAAAGCCCCUGGCUCAACCAGGGAGGGUCAUUCGAUACUGUUCGACUCGAAGGCAGGAGAGGGAAGUGGAAUUCCGGGUGUAGUGGUGAAAUGCGUAGAUAUCCGGAGGAACACCAGUGGCGAAAGCGACUUCCUGGUCGAAUACUGACGUUCAUGUGGCGAAAGCGUGGGGAGCAAACAGG
rnacentral:rRNA from 1 species